GUAGGGGGCGAGCGUUGUCCGGAUUCAUUGGGCGUAAAGCGCGUGUAGGCGGUUAGGUAGGUCCGAUGUGAAAACUGGAGGCUCAACCUCCAGCUGUCAUUGGAAACCAUCUGGCUAGAGUCCGGAAGAGGAGAGUGGAAUUCCUGGUGUAGCGGUGAAAUGCGCAGAUAUCAGGAAGAACACCUAUGGCGAAGGCAGCUCUCUGGGACGGUACUGACGCUGAGACGCGAAAGCGUGGGGAGCGAACAGGAUUAGAUACCCUGGUAGUCCACGCCGUAAACGAUGGGCGCUAGGUGUGGGCGGUGUCGACUCCGUCCGUGCCGAAGCUAACGCAUUAAGCGCCCCGCCUGGGGAGUACGGCCGCAAGGCUAAA
rnacentral:rRNA from 1 species